rnacentral:misc_RNA from 1 species
CAGGAUGAUGCUCUACAUUCCAUUUCUAAGCUGACUGGUAUCAUGUGUUGAGGUGGUCACUCAAAACUGUUCAGAGGUGAUUUAUCCAGAAGUUGCCAAUGAUAUCUGGCUAAGCAUCCAGGAAUAAGAUGAGAACAAUCAUCCCUCAGACUGGGAGAUGAUAAUGAGAAUCCAAGUAUCUAAACAUAUAACUCUUGAGAUUCCAUCGGAGAUGACCAAUAACGCAGGAGAGACUCCACAGUAAGCCUCCUAGUUGCACUGAGCAUUGAGAUGAAAAAUUUGCAACCAUCAAUCUUGUACUCCUCGAGUGGAUUUCUAUGCCCAAAACUCCUCACAUUCACCGCUGAACUUAGUCGGUUCAUGUUUAUAAGAUGAUCCCUCCAGAAGCAAUCUAAUGUCUUCAGAAGUACUUCCCUCUCUAUUUCCUUUACAUAUAUAGCAUCAUAUCCAGAUUCUUGUAUGGCAUCUAAAUAGCUGGCAAUGAGGAAAUCUCCCAGGUACUUUCGGAGGAAAUUAACCAUCUCUCUAUACUUCCCAUACUUGGUUGAAUCAUCAGAGCAUAUAACUAGCCACCUUCUGAAAGAAGAGGUCUUUCCACGUAUACCUCUAAAAGAAUUUGGAGUUGGAGGCAAACUUGGAAGGGAGAAGUUGUCAAUAGAUAUGGAUUGAAACUUCUGAAGUUGUACAAGUGAAUUAAGUAAUGCUUCCUCGUCAAUCUCAGCAAAUGAAUCAUUCAAUAUCUCACCUGCAACAUCUUUGAACUCCUCUAAUAUUUUGUCCAAGCACCAAUUACUUGGGUGCUUUUGCGGAUUAACAUUCUUAAGGAUAACAUCAUCCACCACUGCUUGCAUGUAUUUGUAAAUUUGCUCUGAACAACUUUCAAAAUCUCCAGUUAAAAUUAAUUGCCGAAGAUUGUAAACAUGCUUUCUUUGAACCUCAAGAACUUCAUCGAAUUCAACUAGGUUCUUUCGUAUGCCAAAAAAGUAUUUCUCAGCAUUGAUUUGUAAACCCAAAAGCUGGUUAACUAUUCCGUGACCUUCUAUCGGGAGAUCUUCAUUAUUUGUAAUCCUGGAUAUAAGCUUCACUGCCCACUCGGUGUCAAAGUUAAAUUUUUGAAACAUCUCAUCUUGCAAACUCACCAUAAAUCGCGUUGAUCCAGGAUCACCCUGCCUGCCUGCUCUACCACGAAGCUGGUUAUCGAUUCUCCUAGACUCAUGCAGAGAAG